rnacentral:ncRNA from 2 species
UACUUUACACCCGAUUUAGGUUCCUCAUCCGCCCGUUCGGCUCUGGGGAUUAAAAGGGAAUCCGGUGUAAAACCGGAGCUGUCCCCGCAACUGUCAGUCUGUCCCGUCCCGAUUUUUUCGGAAGGGAAAAGUUUUUGCACCACUAUGCCAUUGUCCCGAUAGUCAUCGGGAUGAGAAGGCCGGCAAAAAUUAGAUGAGCCAGGAGACCUGCCUUGAUCUGUUGAUUCUG